rnacentral:rRNA from 1 species
UACGGAGGGAGCAAGCGUUACUCGGAAUUACUGGGCGUAAAGGGCUCGUAGGCGGCCAACUAAGUCGGACGUGAAAUCCCUCAGCUUAACUGGGGAACUGCGUCCGAUACUGGAUGGCUUGGAUUUGGGAGAGGGAUGCGGAAUUCCAGGUGUAGCGGUGAAAUGCGUAGAUAUCUGGAGGAACACCGGUGGCGAAGGCGGCAUCCUGGACCAAUAUUGACGCUGAGGAGCGAAAGCCAGGGGAGCAAACGGG